ACAUAUGGAAGUCUCGAAAGAAUUUUCAUUAAAAUGGCUAGACAAAUACGGUGUUACAAAAAUGAUUGGCUCUAAUUAAGUCAAAUUAUUGAACAAUUACAUUAAACAAACACACAUUAACAGUAGGCCAUUCACCCUACUAAUUAAUGUAAAAGAACAUAUUGGGAACGAUUUGUAACAAUCGUAAAUGAGCCAUUAGCGCAUCCACCUUAUACAUAAUAUAUUUAAGGGUAGUUUUUGCCCGUAGCAGCUGAUUUUGACAAACGCCACCAGGGUAAAAUGGCUGAAUAGGGGAAAGUGAAAGGGUCCGUGAAUGUAUUAAAAAAUUACGAUUUAACUCGGGUUUAAUUAAGGAACCUUCUGCCACGCAGUAGGAAAACCGUGGUGGUGACGGUGAAAAAUGUCGGAGCUCAAUCAGGAAAAUGCAGAUUCAAGCGAAUUAAUAGAAACUAUGGGCACGAUUCGCCGGAGAAAAUUGGUAAAAUGUGCUAAAGAAACCCUUGGUCAAGCUUCCGAGCUACUGAAGAAAAAAAUUCCUUGCGCCGGUCAUUUCCUGGCGCCGAAACGACUUUGGCUGAAACGCGUCUCAACCCCUAAUUGCGACUUGGUUGUCUGUUUCCCACCUGGGACAGACGAUCAGUUCCUUCUAUGGCUUCUACCCAAGUUGAAACAAUCUACUGGCUUGACCAUCCAUGUUCGAUACCAUGCUUCUACCCAGAGCAGUGCUUUUUAUGUAACCGCAUCGAAUCAAGUGCUGCUCCACGCAGCAGAAGAAUAUCAUCUGUCGAAAGCUCUUAAGCCAUCAAAAGGUGGGGGUUUGAAGGAGUUCUUCGUCCAAGAGCAGGAUUUUUAUGAAGGGUCCGAGUCUGCAGAGCAUUUUUUUACCACUGAAGAAAGACAGUGGCUCGUUUUGAGAGUGCUUGAGAGUGUCAGAGCGAAGAAAGAGGAACUGCGCGUUAUUCCAAGCGUUACAUUGCUGGAAGGUCAGCCGAUAGUGCCAAAGUUUUUGACUAGUGGGGUAAUAUCGCAGGUUUUUCCAAUUCAUGAGCCGCCCGCGCUUGAGCGGCUACAGCAGACUUGGGUUCAAGACAUUUUCGCUAAACAACCUCUUGAUGAAAUUACCGAAUACUUUGGAGUUAAAAUUGGAAUGUACUUCGCAUGGCUGGGACAUUAUACUACAGCGUUGAGCAUUCCUGCUGUAGUGGGAUUCAUAUUUUGGUUGACUUGUACAAGUAAACAUCAGACUAUCCAAGACGUUGGUUAUGUGGUAUUUUCAAUAUUCAACGUGGUUUGGGUGACAACGUAUCUUCAAGCCUGGAAAAGAUAUUCCGCAGAGCUGGCCUUUAGAUGGGGCACGUUAGAUCAAAGGGACGAUCUACUAGCGGAGCCGAGACCGUUGUUUAGACUACCGCGGCAUGUUAUUAUUUGUCAUCAGGGUCCACUAAGGCCCAGUCCUGUAACAGGGAGGCUCGAACCUUACCAUCCGGUAUGGAGGAGGCACAUUUUCCGUUAUUGCGUUUCCGUGCCAGUAAUCAUCGUCUCCCUCCUCACGGUGUUUCUUGUCAUGAUUGUUUCGUUACAAAUUCAGGAUUGGUGGGAUGCAUUUUUGGCUAAUCGAGGGUUUCCUCUUUGGCUGGGAUAUAUCCCGAAGGUUAUGCUAGCUGUGGUAAUUUGGUUGAUGGACGAGGCAUACUUUAAAAUCGCCAUCUGGCUGAACGACAAAGAGAAUUAUCGACUAGAAACGAAAUACGAAAAUCACCUAAUCGGCAAAGUUGCCCUGUUCCAGUUCGUCAACUCUUUCCUGUCUUUAUUUUAUAUUGCAUUUUAUCUACAGGAUCAAGAACGGCUCAAGGAACAAUUAGCCGCGUUACUAAUUUCCAGGCAAGUGCUAGGAAAUUUAAAAGAAUCCGCACUACCUUAUGUGCUUGUGCACUUGAGAUUGGCCAAAAUGAGCUUUGAAAUGUGGGGCGCUUUAAGUCCUUUGAACACAAAACCACCGCCUGGCGAAGGUGUGGCUGAAGAGCAUACCGAAACACCAACCGAAGAAAAGAAUACCGAUAGUCCGCCAGUGGCCAAAAGGAGCAUGAGCCAAGCAGAACUAGAAAGUUCUUUAUAUAAAUACGAUGGAACUUUCGCAGAUUAUCUUGAAAUGACCAUUCAAUUGGGGUAUGUAAUACUGUUUUCAUCAGCUUUUCCUCCGGCUGCUAUUUGUGCAAUGUUAAAUAACUUGGUGGAAAUUCGAAGCGAUGCUUUUAGGCUCGGUUAUGUGUGCCAAAGGCCUUUCGGGCAAAGGGUUCCUAAUAUUGGAACAUGGCAGAACUGUAUGGAAUAUAUGAGCACUAUGGCCGUCUUGGUAAAUUGCGCUCUUAUAGGUUUAUCUGGCCAAGUACACCGAAUGUUCCCCGAUAUGACGGCAACUCAAACCAUUCUACUAAUCGUGGCAUUAGAGCACAUUAUGUUCAUCAUACGAUUCAUUAUAACAUGCGCGAUUCCUGAUAUUCCCGGAUGGUUGGCCACUGAAAUGGCAAAAAUCGAAUGGGCGCGAAGAAAUUCCAUCCGAGUCGGCAAUACAGCAACUCCUUCUCCAGAAGAAGUACAAUCGAAAACUAUUGGAAGAUUUUCCGUAUCUCCGAGCCACAACCUCGUGCACUCAACGCAGUUUAAAAAAUCUGCAGAAAAAAUCUGCCCGGACGCAACGGAAGCAAAAAAAAGCAUAUCAUCUCACGUAUCGCCCAUGCCAUCUCCAAGCACGCCCACAAAUUCGCAAAGUUCCAUCACAUCCCUGCAUAGAACUCCCCUAGGCAUUACUGCGGAUAGCAUUCAACAAAUCCCACCGUUUAGGCCCAGAAAAUCCAAAGAAUGGGCUCCACCAGAAGUGGUAGGUGAACCAAGCCAUCAUCUCACCAUAGGGCCCAGCGGAGGAGUUGAAUGGGCGCGCAAAUUGAAAGAGGAAACCGACAUUCAUCGAAGCACUGACUGCAUAUCGCCUAAGGAUUCCUCAAGUUCAGAUACAGAGCUACAUCGAACUAGCCCCUUAUGGCCUCCAAGGCCCCGAUCUCCGCCUGAACAUACAGGACCCAGAAUUCGAGCCCCAAUUAUUCCCAUAGAUCCUUCACUGAGCGACAGUGCCAGAAGCAUUUCCAGCCAAGAAGCUGACGAAGCCGCAAAAGCUGCUGAAGAAUUAGCAGCUAAGAAAACGCGAGUGAAACAGAGUCUAAUGAAGAGGGCUAGAUCAGUGGCAAUUUUCUCGUUGAAGCUAAAAGAACGAAGAGCUAGAGAAGCACAAGAAAAAUCCGCAAAGGCUCCGGUAACUCCUUCCACUCCGUUACCGCCACCGCAGUGUGGCGGUGGAGAAUUGUCGUGCAUUCCCAUCGAAAAGCUGAUUCAGUUAGAAGAUGUGAGAAGGAGUGUGCAGUCCAAGCCAAAUGGCCAACACGGCACUUUGUAGCUCUAUGCGACAAGUAUUUUCAUUGUGAAAUUUUAAAUAGGCGUUAUUGAGUCUGAUUUGUAUAGAUGUAGCAGUCUGCUUUAAUUAUAAGGUACAAACCCUGCAAGUACCACGCAAAGAAAAUAUAUAUUGUUGAGAAGACAUGUGAAAUAGUAAUGUCUUACUGGUUGAAGCCUAGAAAACAUGUAAUGGUGUUCUGAUGAAACACAUUUGUUACGAGCGCAAUAUACGUACGAAUAAGCAGAAUAUAAAACGAUGUUGAUAGUUCCAUAAGAUUGUUUUAAAUUAUUUUUUAUAAUACUAGCGUGUACUUUAAAAUCACAGUAAUCAUAAGACUAAUUGGAGUAGUUUAGACAAAGCAAUAUGUAGAGAAUAAAGGGUCAUGAGUUCUAACUGAGAUGUAGGUUGGUAUUCAGGUUUAGAUUUAUUUGGGGAAAAGUAAGACACUUUUCCUCAGAUAAAUCAACACUGGAAGUUUUUAGGCGACACUGAAAAGAACAAAAAACCCAAACUUAUUUUCAAGUCUCAACUUGAAAGUUGCAAAUUAACAAAACGAAAUGUAUUUUUAUGCGCCAUUGUUCUAUUGAUAGUGCUUUAUAGAAUUAAAGUAAAAUUCGAGCUUUAUAAACAAAACAUCCAUUAGAUUGCCACCCAUUUUUAUUUGCCUGUGUGAUAUUCGUCCAAGAAAUAUUUUAACAUUGUUCAGCUACGUAUCUUAAUAUAGUAUUACUUAUAAGACUGCAAAAGUAUUUUUUGAUAUUGUUUUUUUUACUUUUUAGAAUUUUUAAUCGCAAUUUCCACUCAUUUACUUAACUGAAUUAAGCUGCUAUUUAUCCAGUUUAAGGACAUUUAUAUUUUAGUGGAACGUAGACUGAAGAGCUUUCUAUUUCUACCUUGAAUGUAAGCUUUCUUUAAGUAGCACAACAUUUACAUAUGCACUUAUACAAUUUAGUGUGUACAAAGCUGAUGAACUGCUUAAAAUCAAACGUAUCAAUCAAUGCACUAGUAUUAGGUCAAAGCUUAUAUAUUCAAAGGCCUCUUUGGCUUAGUCUUACUGACAACAAUUUUUAUAACUAUUACACAAACAACUGCAAAGUGGGCAAAGUCGACAGCAAACAUUUCUGUGGCAAAAAAAAUUAGAUCUAAAAAAUGCUUAACGAUUAUGUCAAUUAAACCUUCCAACAAAUGAGUGGAAAUUCUGUAGUCCCCAAAAAAAUACAAUAAAUCAUUUGUAAUCAUUGUUAAGUAUUACUCGUAUUGUUAAACAUUGUGGCUAUUGUGAAAUAGAUGUCUCAUAAGUGUUAAGCUUGUUAAUAUUGUAUUUAUAAAUAAAAAUACGAUACAUAUACUAA